rnacentral:rRNA from 1 species
UGCAAGUCGAACGGUAACAUUUCUAGCUUGCUAGAAGAUGACGAGUGGCGGACGGGUGAGUAAUGCUUGGGAACUUGCCUUUGCGAGGGGGAUAACAGUUGGAAACGACUGCUAAUACCGCAUAAUGUCUUCGGACCAAACGGGGCUUCGGCUCCGGCGCAAAGAGAGGCCCAAGUGAGAUUAGCUAGUUGGUAAGGUAAUGGCUUACCAAGGCGACGAUCUCUAGCUGUUCUGAGAGGAAGAUCAGCCACACUGGGACUGAGACACGGCCCAGACUCCUACGGGAGGCAGCAGUGGGGAAUAUUGCACAAUGGGGGAAACCCUGAUGCAGCCAUGCCGCGUGUGUGAAGAAGGCUUUCGGGUUGUAAAGCACUUUCAGUUGUGAGGAAAAGUUAGUAGUUAAUACCUGCUAGCCGUGACGUUAACAACAGAAGAAGCACCGGCUAACUCCGUGCCAGCAGCCGCGGUAAUACGGAGGGUGCGAGCGUUAAUCGGAAUUACUGGGCGUAAAGCGCACGC